AUUGAACGCUGGCGGCAUGCCUUACACAUGCAAGUCGAACGGUAACGCGGGGCAACCUGGCGACGAGUGGCGAACGGGUGAGUAAUGUAUCGGAACGUGCCCAGUUGUGGGGGAUAACUGCUCGAAAGAGCAGCUAAUACCGCAUACGACCUGAGGGUGAAAGCGGGGGGUCGCAAGACCUCGCGCAAUUGGAGCGGCCGAUAUCAGAUUAGGUAGUUGGUGGGGUAAAGGCUCACCAAGCCAACGAUCUGUAGCUGGUCUGAGAGGACGACCAGCCACACUGGGACUGAGACACGGCCCAGACUCCUACGGGAGGCAGCAGUGGGGAAUUUUGGACAAUGGACGCAAGUCUGAUCCAGCCAUGCCGCGUGCGGGAAGAAGGCCUUCGGGUUGUAAACCGCUUUUGUCAGGGAAGAAACGCUCUGGGUUAAUACCUCGGGGUAAUGACGGUACCUGAAGAAUAAGCACCGGCUAACUACGUGCCAGCCGCCGCCGUAAAAC
rnacentral:rRNA from 1 species